rfam:Ovis aries breed Texel chromosome 9, whole genome shotgun sequence.
UCCCUGGUGGCUUAGAUGGUAAAGAAUCUGCCUGCAAUGCAGGAGACCUGAGUUCAAUCUCUUGGUGGGGAA